rnacentral:tRNA from 1 species
UCAGGAAAAAAAGUAAUCUUUUAUCUUUAAUUCCCAAAAUUAAUAUUUUAAAUAAACUAUUUCCUG